GAUGAACGCUGGCGGCGUGCCUAAUACAUGCAAGUCGAGCGAACAGACGAGGAGCUUGCUCCUUUGACGUUAGCGGCGGACGGGUGAGUAACACGUGGGUAACCUACCUAUAAGACUGGGAUAACUUCGGGAAACCGGAGCUAAUACCGGAUAAUAUUUCGAACCGCAUGGUUCGAUAGUGAAAGAUGGCUUUGCUAUCACUUAUAGAUGGACCUGCGCCGUAUUAGCUAGUUGGUAAGGUAACGGCUUACCAAGGCAACGAUACGUAGCCGACCUGAGAGGGUGAUCGGCCACACUGGAACUGAGACACGGUCCAGACUCCUACGGGAGGCAGCAGUAGGGAAUCUUCCGCAAUGGGCGAAAGCCUGACGGAGCAACGCCGCGUGAGUGAUGAAGGUCUUCGGAUCGUAAAACUCUGUUAUUAGGGAAGAACAAACGUGUAAGUAACUGUGCACGUCUUAACGGUACCUAAUCAGAAAGCCACGGCUAACUACGUG
rnacentral:rRNA from 1 species